rnacentral:tRNA from 1 species
AGUCUUAUAUUCAAAAAUGAUAUAAAAUUGCAAAUUUUAAGGAAAAAUAAUAAUUUUUAAGGCUU